AGCAGCCGCGGUAAUUCCAGCUCCAAUAGCGUAUAUUAAAGUUGUUGCAGUUAAAAAGCUCGUAGUUGAAUUUCGGGAUCAAAUUGUCGGUCGUGCCUCGGUACGCACUGGUAUUAUUGGUUCCUACCUUCUGAAGAACCGCGAUGUCAUUAAUUUGGUGUCGUGGGGAAUCAGGACUGUUACUUUGAAAAAAUUAGAGUGUUUAAAGCAGGCUUACGCUUGAAUACAUUAGCAUGGAAUAAUGAAAUAGGACGUUUGAUUCUAUUUUGUUGGUUUCUAGGAUUGACGUAAUGAUUAAUAGGGAUAGUUGGGGGCAUUAGUAUUCAAUUGUCAGAGGUGAAAUUCUUGGAUUUAUUGAAGACUAACUACUGCGAAAGCAUUUGCCAAGGAUGUUUUCAUUAAUCAAGAACGAAAGUUAGGGGAUCGAAGACGGUCAGAUACCGUCGUAGUCUUAACCAUAAACUAUGCCGACUAGGGAUCGGAUGAUGUUAAUUUUUUAAUGACUCAUUCGGCGCCUUAC
rnacentral:rRNA from 1 species